rnacentral:rRNA from 1 species
AACGAACGCUGGCGGCAUGCCUAACACAUGCAAGUCGAACGAAGUCUUCGGACUUAGUGGCGCACGGGUGCGUAACGCGUGGGAAUCUGCCCUUGGGUGCGGAAUAACUUCUCGAAAGGGAUGCUAAUACCGCAUAAUGUCGUAAGACCAAAGAUUUAUCGCCCAAGGAUGAGCCCGCGUAAGAUUAGCUAGUUGGUGGGGUAAAAGCCUACCAAGGCGACGAUCUUUAGCUGGUCUGAGAGGAUGAUCAGCCACACUGGGACUGAGACACGGCCCAGACUCCUACGGGAGGCAGCAGUGGGGAAUAUUGGACAAUGGGCGAAAGCCUGAUCCAGCAAUGCCGCGUGAGUGAUGAAGGCCCUAGGGUUGUAAAGCUCUUUUACCAGGGAUGAUAAUGACAGUACCUGGAGAAUAAGCUCCGGCUAACUACGUGCCAGCAGCCGCGGU